AGAGACAGCAGUAGCCACGGGAAUACGUAGGGCGCAAGCGUUGUCCGGAAUUAUUGGGCGUAAAGAGCUCGUAGGCGGUCUGUCGCGUCUGGUGUGAAAUCCCGAGGCUCAACCUCGGGCUUGCAUCGGGUACGGGCAGACUAGAGUGCGGUAGGGGAGACUGGAAUUCCUGGUGUAGCGGUGGAAUGCGCAGAUAUCAGGAGGAACACCGAUGGCGAAGGCAGGUCUCUGGGCCGCAACUGACGCUGAGGAGCGAAAGCAUGGGGAGCGAACAGGAUUAGAUACCCGAGUAGUCCAUGUCUCUUAUAC
rnacentral:rRNA from 1 species